GUUGUGCCUUGCUAAGCAUGCUGUGAAUUCUCUUAUGGUGAUUGCUCUUUGGGUGUUGAGAAAAACACUUCCAAACAGGCGAGAGUGGUGGCAGAGGGCACAUAGCUGGGCCUCCUUUGGCUUUAGUCGCUGAGCUACGCUGCUUUUCGCCAUGCUCAGCUAGCAGGACAGACUCACAUGACCACAACUGGAAGGUGAUGCCAGCAGCAGGAACUUUCUGAAGCACUCUUCAACCAGCUUUUGAGUUUCUCCUGGCAUAUUGGAGCCAUUAGAUCUGAUUCUCCUGGAAACAAAUCCCCACAAAGCAACAUCCCCCUUAACACAGCUGAGGGAAACAGAUGCUUUUGGAUCAGGAGCUUCCACCUUUUUUUUGUUUUUCUCCCUGAGCAAAUUGAUUGCUCGGCUUGUUUCUGCAACUAAAGCAGAUGUUUCCGUGGUCACAUGAGGCAAAGGGGCAGCCUGGCUGGAGGAUAUUGCUACAAGCUAGAAAGCAUCAACAUCACAUCAAUUUCUCAUUUGCUUAUUCUUACUUGACCUGACCACUCGCUUAGCAACUGCUUAGCAACACCUUCCUUGUGGAGAGGGAUGUGGGAGUCUCCCAGGCUUAGUGGUCAUGGUUGUGUGAUUGAGAGACUUGAUUUGCUUCAACAGAAGGGCAGCAGAGUUUUUCCAGCCUGUGAGAAAUGGGGAGCUUGACUGAUGGGACCGAGUCAUCAUGGCCUUGCUCUGCAGAUGAGGUGGAAGCCAAGCAGAGCAGUGGGGGAGGCUGUAGUGAGGAUUACAUUUUGCUCUGAACUCUGAGGCAUCCCCAACUGGACAAAGCUCUGCAUCCUCCCUGGCCCUUCCACCUGCACAGAGAGAUUCAGAGCUGACAAGGAGGCAGGCAAAGAGACAUUUACAUUGAGAAAGCUGAAGGCCAAUUUGACAUUGGCAAGAAAGCCGUGGCUCCCAUCUGAUGAGCAGGAAUAUUCGUUCUGUGGGGUCUGUCAUGUGGCUUUAAGAAAAGUGCUUUGUUACCUCCUUCCCAGCCUCUGAACUGCCUGCCUCAUCUUGGAGACCAGCUUUGGGACCUUCAUCACUUGGGAUGCAGAAAUAAGAAAUUCCAGCUGGAACAGAAUUGCGGCAAGUGGGGACCAGCCCAGAGACAGGGAACUGUUCCUGAAGCAGGAUGGUGAAGAUCCAGUGCGGGUUGCUCUUGGUGGGGGUCAAGAAGCAGUUCUCCAUUAGUAGGACAACUUAUACUGACCAUGUACUACCUAAAAUGAUGAUUGCUUUCAGCAAAGAGAUGCAGAGUAGAUGAACCAGUGGCUCAGACCAAUGUGGCCUGUCCCACAGAACUGACCCGGUAUCUUGUAUUCCACUGCUAGGAGAUGAUUCUAAAUGAGACUCAAUGGCUGGUCCUCACUCGGUCACUGAUGUGAUGAUCCACGUAAACAUGUCCCUUCUCUCCCUGUCUCUCUGCUGUACUUUAUAGCCAGCAGUGUCUCUCAAUCAUACUUGUACAGCUCCUGGCACCCCAGUGACGUUCUAGAAGCUAAGAUGCUACAAGUAACAAUUAAAAAAAAAAAAUCAAAAUAAUAUUCAUUAUAUUCAGCCUCAUUCCAAAAAAAAAACCCCGCUUAAAUUUUCUUGGGAGCCAGUAUCCGCUUGUGAGCUUAAGCUGAAUAAGUAGGUGUGAGAUGGAAAAAAUGCAGCUAUCUGUGGGGAAGGGCAGAAAGAGCCCUAUGGUCUGCUUUCCUUACACAGGCCCUGGAGUAACCACCUCAUCCUCUGGCUGGAGGACUCGUGCCUCUAGGGCAGGACAGCUGGAUUUCCAGGGUCUGAGAUAGCAGCUCUUCCCCUGAGAUCUGGGGAGCAUCAUGGUGCCCUCACCACCUUCUUUCCACCGGGCAUGACCUGCACUGGCAUCUGCUUUGUGCGAGCAGGAUGGGGAAGGAAUCGGGGCAGCUAAAACAGCAACCAUGACCUCACCUCAAGAGGGUCUUUAGACCCCAGAUCUCUAACCCGGGGGUUCCCUCACCAUGCCAGCCCUCUGUUGCCUUCCUUCUGGUCUCCCCUUGCCAUACCAGUGCUGGCAUCAAUCCUCCAGAGAUCUUAUUUUCCCCAAGUAAUUCCUCCUCUCAGUGGGGUAAUCAGCCUUUUAUUGGGAAUCUAACAGGAUGGGACUUCUGUGCAAAUCUCUUAAACCCACUGCAAGACAGCAGCCCAGUAACCCCAUGUGGACACGUGCCAUGUAGUAUGGUGCCCACCAACUGCUUUGCUCUGCUGACCCUCCUCUGUUGGUCCACAUGGACACACAGACAUGUAUGUACAUAACGCAGACGUAGCCCUUAUGGUCAGGAAAGAGACACAGCACAACUAGAGGAUGAAUAAGCCAAUGUAAAGUUGGGCUCUUGUCCCAAGGGGCCAUGGGCAAACACCUGUGCAAGCUCCCCCUGUCUCAGUAGGUUCCCAGCUCUGCUUGCUGGGGCAUUACUGCUCCUCCACCUCAUGUAUCCAUGACCUUCCUGUGGCUGACGUUUCUCACCCCCACGCCCCACUCCUGGAUGUGGCAUCUGAGGACACUUGGCAAGUUGGUGGCUACAUGGGAUUGCAGAGCCAUGUUUCCCCACUGGGAAAACACAUCAGCUCUGACGGCCUCUGGCAGAGCAAGGCAGGUAGGGACAGCUGAGACAAUUUGACCAGCAUCUUCACUCAGGGCAUUGUUGCAGACCAGUUAAGGUGAUUUUGAUAGGUUCUUUGUGUUAGCAGCUCUUCCCGUGCCUUGCUUGCAUUGCUAACACUGGAAGGUUUCUUCCAUCUUCCCUGAAUUCUCCCUGAACUCAUCUUUGGGCCACGGCUGGUGGAUGGAUCGCCAAGAGAGACCAAAUGCCAGCCUAAAGCAGAAGCUGGGUGAGAGUUUAGUGACUACAUCUGGGCUGUCCUCUGACAGCACAGCAACAUGAAGAUGCAAUUACACAGUUAGGUUAUACAUGCAAGUACAGUCCUAAGUGUGUGCAGAGCUGGGUCAUCAUAUGCAUUGGGGAUUAUUUGCAUCUCAACCUGAAAACGUGACCAGGCUGUGCUCCCACCAGCGGUUUGCACUCAUAUGCAAAGGAGUCAAUGGCCAUAACACCCCCUCCCACAGCAGGGACCAAAAUCCCCUUCCACCCUGCUGUGUGAAGCCACUUUUACAUCUGUCCGCAUGACAGCAAACCCUCGGUGCCGAGAAGGCUGCUCAGGUGUGCAGACCUACAAGCUGCUCAUGAAAAUCAGAGCCCUGCCUGUUCAGCCAUUUUACUGGCACCAGCAGGACGUUUCAGAGCUUUGAAUCCCAAGUUCUGGUCCUGCUGCCAUGUUGUCUUUGUGCCCUUAAGGCAUCACAGACCACAGGUUAGUGGGAGCAAGCAGUGACAGUGCUGCAGUAGUCCUGCUCUGCAUCGGGUUUAGUCCACCAGUACCCUGUGGGAACCUUGCAGAAGGUGCCCAGCAAAUACUGAUUAGUUACAAAAUGUACUCUAAUCUUGUUCCUCCUUUUGGGAAAGGCAGAGAGCUGUUCUUCUGGAUUUACAUCCAAGUACAUCAGAUCAUCAGCUCCUCCAGCAUCCAGGAUUGCUUUCCCACUACAGAAGUGGACCCAGCAGGAAUACUGUUGGUAAAACAAAAGUCAAAUUAUUUCCAUCUCACACCCACAGACAGAGCUGUAAUUCCAUCACAGAACAAAGGUCAGGAGUCCUCCUCUCACAUAAUUUAGUUUUGACAGCUCGUCAGGAUCAGAGGAGCUGGAGAUUUUAGCUUGGAGGCUGAAAUCUUGCUUUGCAAGAGGUGCUCAGUGCAUCUUCAUGAAUCUCUGCUACAGCACUGUGCAGGUAUUUAAGACAAACCUGAAAUACAUAAUUCCUGAUGAAUUGAUUUGCUGCUGGUAACUGAUACUUGCCUGUGAGAAAUGUAUGGUAGUUUCUGCUUUAAAGAAACAUGUCCAGUUAGAGUUCGGUUGGAAGGUGAGAUGAUUAUAUCUGGAACUGGGAUUGGAAUACCUGAACUCUGCACACACAGAGAAAGAAAAUGAAGACAACACAAAAUUCUUUUGAAACAGUUUCUUUUUUUCCUGAAUGUUCACCAGUUUUCAAAAAACUACAAAAACCUCAAAGACUGUAACAAUAUAGCACUUGAUAAAAAGGCUGUUUUGUACAAAAACAAGCAUGCUUUAGUUUUUGGGGUUGGAGUGGGUUUUUGUAUUUAUCUGGGUUCUUUUCUUCCUUUAGCAUAGUGUGAAGAGAGAAAGUACCAGCUUAUUUAACAGGUUAGCUCAGAAAAAUAAGGAAAAACAUGCUUUCCCCAUUACAAAAUUUUACCAGAAGAUUCAUGCUUGAGGUCCGAAAUACAAACAGACUGACACAUUUUGAAGCAUGCAGACUUUGUUGUACAACCCACACAUAACUUCCCUUCCCCUUCCCCAUGGUCAAAGAUGUGGUCCAUGACAUGUGUUUUGCUUUCCCUUUAGUUUGCUUUUUUUGUUUUCUUUUUGUAGUGAGUUAUUCGCUUUUUUUUUCUGUCUUUUUUUUUUUUUUUUUUUUUUUUAGCCCUAAAUCCCAGGUAGUGGUAUCCAAGGUAACAGCAGAAAAAAGUCCAGAUCUGCACAUUAUCACUGUUUCUGUAAGUUUCAUGCAAAACUUAAGCCAUUUCUGCAUGCAACACGAUGCUGGUCAUUUAUUGUGCUUCAUACAACUGAGGGGAGACUUCCCCAUUCACCACAACAGUUUGUUGAUUGGUGACUGCAGGUUUGCUUUCCCAUGGACACAGACAUAUUAAAAGACCCCUCCCACCCUCUCCAGUCCCCCCCAGCUGCCCCAAACACAUGGGAAUGUGCAUCUCAGCACCAGGUCCAGACAGUUCACUUGCCUACAAA